UGGGGCGGGGGCAAGUGUCAGUCAGGUCGGGAGCGCGACGGGGGACGCCGGGGACCCGGGCGGCUGACAGGGGGCCCGGGCCGCUGCCGCGUUGUCCGCUCAAGAUGGAGUUCCUCCUGGGGAACCCGUUCAGCACCCCGGUGGGGCAGUGCCUCGAAAAGGCAACAGAUGGCUCCCUCCAGAGCGAGGACUGGACGUUGAACAUGGAGAUCUGCGACAUUAUCAAUGAGACAGAGGAAGGGCCAAAGGAUGCCAUUCGAGCCCUGAAGAAGCGGCUCAACGGGAACCGGAACUACAGAGAGGUCAUGCUGGCAUUGACUGUGCUGGAGACGUGUGUGAAGAACUGUGGCCACCGCUUCCACAUUCUCGUGGCCAACCGGGAUUUCAUCGACAGCGUCCUGGUCAAAAUCAUCUCUCCCAAGAACAACCCUCCCACCAUUGUGCAGGACAAGGUGCUCGCUCUGAUCCAGGCGUGGGCUGAUGCCUUUCGAAGCAGCCCUGACCUCACCGGCGUGGUGCAUAUAUAUGAGGAACUGAAGAGGAAAGGGGUCGAGUUUCCCAUGGCAGACUUGGACGCUCUGUCUCCCAUCCACACACCACAGCGGAGCGUCCCCGAAGUGGAUCCAGCCGCAGCCAUGCCCAGGUCCCAGUCGCAGCAGAGGACGAGUACCAGCUCCUAUACCUCGCCUCCUCCUGCCCCCUACUCCGCUCCGCAGGCCCCGGCUCUCAGUGUGACGGGCCCCAUCACGGCCAAUUCGGAACAGAUUGCCAGGCUUCGGAGUGAACUGGACGUUGUUCGAGGCAACACAAAAGUCAUGUCGGAGAUGCUAACAGAAAUGGUCCCCGGGCAGGAGGAUUCGUCCGAUCUGGAAUUGCUGCAGGAGCUGAACAGGACCUGCCGGGCCAUGCAACAGCGCAUCGUGGAGCUCAUCUCCCGCGUGUCCAACGAGGAGGUCACCGAGGAGCUGCUUCACGUCAAUGAUGACCUCAACAACGUCUUCCUCCGCUACGAGAGGUUUGAACGAUACAGGUCAGGCCGAUCGGUGCAAAAUGCCAGUAAUGGAGUACUGAACGAAGUGACCGAGGACAACUUAAUAGACCUGGGCCCGGGAUCUCCAGCUGUGGUGAGCCCAAUGGUGGGGAACACGGCACCUCCAUCUUCUCUCUCCUCUCAGCUUGCAGGCUUAGACUUGGGGACAGAGAGCGUCAGUGGUACCCUCAGUUCACUCCAGCAGUGUAAUCCGCGUGAUGGCUUUGACAUGUUUGCCCAGACAAGAGGGAACUCCUUGGCCGAACAACGCAAGACGGUAGCCUACGAGGACCCCCAGGCUGUCGGAGGACUGGCUUCUGCACCAGACAGCCGGAAACAGAGCUCUGAAGUGAAGAGAGGUAAAGGUGGGGACUCUGACCUGGAGCCCAUAGACAGCUGGCUCAUGACCCAAGGAAUGGUGAGAAGUCACCAGCUGAGCCAAGCCCCUGUCCACCCCAGCGCUUUCCUGUGUCACCUGCUGAGCCCUCAUCCCCGUUGCGCAGCCCUCUGUCAUGGACGACAUUGAAGUGUGGCUCAGGACGGACCUGAAGGGCGAUGACCUGGAGGAAGGCGUCACGAGUGAAGAAUUCGAUAAGUUCCUGGAAGAAAGAGCCAAAGCUGCCGAAAUGGUCCCCAGCCUCCCCUCGCCCCCAGGGGACGCCCCAGCCCCAGCCUCAAACCCCUCCGGCCGGAAGAAGCCGGAGCGAUCAGAGGACGCCCUCUUUGCCCU